rnacentral:tRNA from 1 species
GUCACUUUGCCGGAGUGGUUAACGGGAUCGCCUGCUACUUAGCAGUCCAGCGGUUGGGCUUUGCCCGCGUGUGUUCGAAUCGCACAGGUGACG